GGAUUCAAUCAUAUCAGCAUUAAUACACUGAAUCCAAUUAGAAGAAGUCCAAGUUAAAUGUCUUUGGGCGAGAUUAGUAUUAAGAUUAAUAAACUCCUGAGAAGUCUUCGUAUUGUAUAUC